rnacentral:rRNA from 1 species
UACAGGGGGUGCAAACGUUGCUCGGAAUCAUUGGGCGUAAAGCGCACGUAGGCGGUUCGUUAUGUCGGAUGUGAAAGCCCUUGGCUUAACCGAGGAAGUGCAUCCGAAACUGGCGAGCUAGAGUACUAAAGAGGAUCGCGGAAUUCCCGGUGUAGAGGUGAAAUUCGUAGAUAUCGGGAGGAACACCGGUGGCGAAGGCGGCGAUCUGGGUAGAUACUGACGCUGAGACACGAAAGCGUGGGUAGCAAACAGG